AGCCCCCCUCAAGAUGAGAUAUCCCUACGUAAAGUAGUAAGACCCCUUGAAGACGACGAGGUAGAUAGGGCAGAGGUGGAAGUGUGGUAACACAUGGAGCUGACUGUUACUAAUCGGUCGAGGGCAUAACCAA
rnacentral:rRNA from 1 species